rnacentral:rRNA from 1 species
GAGCGCCGUAGCAAUACGGAGCGGCAGACGGGAGAGUAACACGUGGGAACGUGCCCUUCAGUUCGGAACAACCCCAGGGAAACUUGGGCUAAUACCGGAUACGUCCGUAAGGAGAAAGAUUUAUCGCUGAAGGAUCGGCCCGCGUCUGAUUAGCUAGUUGGUGGGGUAACGGCCCACCAAGGCGACGAUCAGUAGCUGGUCUGAGAGGACGGUCGGCCACACUGGAACUGAGACACGGUCCAGACUCCUACGGGAGGCAGCAGUGGGGAAUUUUUCGCAAUGGGGGCAACCCUGACGAAGCAACGCCGCGUGGGUGAUGAAGUAUUUCGGUACGUAAAACCCUUUCGACGGGGACGAAACCGCAAGGUUGACGGUACCCGUAGAAGAAGCCCCGGCUAACUUCGUG